rnacentral:rRNA from 1 species
GUGGGGAAUCUUAGACAAUGGGGGAAACCCUGAUCUAGCCAUGCCGCGUGAGCGAUGAAGGCCUUAGGGUUGUAAAGCUCUUUCAGCUGGGAAGAUAAUGACGGUACCAGCAGAAGAAGCCCCGGCUAACUCCGUGCCAGCAGCCGCGGUAAUACGGAGGGGGCUAGCGUUGUUCGGAAUUACUGGGCGUAAAGCGCACGUAGGCGGAUCAGAAAGUCAGAGGUGAAAUCCCAGGGCUCAACCUUGGAACUGCCUUUGAAACUCCUGGUCUUGAGGUCGAGAGAGGUGAGUGGAAUUCCGAGUGUAGAGGUGAAAUUCGUAGAUAUUCGGAGGAACACCAGUGGCGAAGGCGGCUCACUGGCUCGAUACUGACGCUGAGGUGCGAAAGCGUGGGGAGCAAACAGGAUUAGAAACCCGUGUAGUCC